rnacentral:lncRNA from 1 species
CAGAAUUCAAUCAUCCUGAGUGUGGAGCCAGGCCCAGCCCUCACUGGCCACAGCUCGGCCCCCAUUUCCCUGGCCAGCACCGAGCCGCAGGGGAGGGUGAGAAUCUUUGGCAUCUUGGCAUACGUUUGUUGUUCCAGAGUCGGGCUGUGCCGAGGGAAUGUGCUGCUUCCCCCAUUUUGCAGACAGGGACACUGAGGCUCAGUGAGGGUGAGGGCUCACCCAGGUUGCAGAGCCUGCCCAAAGCUGGGUCUUCUGGCUCCAAGUCGGGAGCACGCUGCACACCUCAUGCCAUGGAUCAGGCCUUGAAGCUCUCCGUGAAGGUGUACAUUGUGCCCCUCAUUGACCGGCAGAGAGCCAGGCCUCAGGGACGAGAUCCUGGACAGUGUGAAUACUUCCACUGCAGCCCAUCUCCAGUUACCAAUGCGGGGUACUGUGCAUGGAGCUGGAGAGAGGUA